rnacentral:rRNA from 1 species
GUUGAAACACCAGUUCCCGUACGAUCAUCGAAGUUAAGCAACGUCGAGCCUGAAAGUACCUAGAUGGGUGACCCUUGGGGGAAAACCAGGUACAGU